rnacentral:tRNA from 4 species
GGCAGGUUGCCCGAGUGGCCAAUGGGAGCGGACUGUAAAUCCGUCGGCUUAGCCUACCCAGGUUCGAACCCUGGACCUGCCA